rnacentral:rRNA from 1 species
UUGAAAGGGAAACGAUUGAAGUCAGUCGUACCAGCGGGAAAUCAACCUUUCGAGUGGGGGUUUUGGAGUUUUGAAGAGUGUCAAAACCUUUGAGGUUUCAAAAUUUUCGCUCUUUUGGUGUACUUUCUCGUGGGUAGGUUAACAUCGAUUUUGAUCAUCAUAAAAAGAUUGGAGGAAUGUAGCUUCGAUCUUGUAUUGAAGUGUUAUAGCCUUUGGUAAAUGUGAUGAUUAGGAUCGAGGAUUGCAACGAAUACCCUUUUGGGCUAUCCGCCUGAUCUCUGAUACGUGGCCUUGGUAUCGAAAGCGUGCUUAUGGUAUUGAGGUAUUACGGUCAAAAGGUUAGAACGGAUUACAUUCGUUAAGGAUGUUGACGUA